rnacentral:rRNA from 1 species
GAUGAACGCCGGCGGCGUGCCUAAUCCACGCAAGUUGAGCGAAGCGGGGACGGGUGAGUAACCCGUGGAAAACCUCCUUUAAGACUGGGAUAACUUCGGGAAACCGGAGCAAAACCGGAUACUUAUUGCUGGCACCGCGCGGCAUUAGCUAGUUGGUAAGGUUACGGCUUACCAAGGCAACUAAGCAUAGUCGACCUGAGAGGGUGAGCGGCCACACUGGCACGUCAACACGGUCCAGCAUCCGACGGGAGGCAGGCUGAGGGAAUCUUCCGCAAUGGACGAAAGCCUGACAGAGCAACGCCGCUUAUGUGAGGAGGGUCUUCGGAUCGUAAGACUCUGUUAUUAGGGAAGCGGUACCUAAUCAGAAGGCCGCGACUAACUACGUGCCAGCAGCCGCGGUAAUAC